AACGUUAGAUUUUUUAAAUGCUUCUAAAAAAAAAAAAACUUUUCAAUUUAGGCCCUCACCCUCACGUUUUCUCUCUCACUCUCCUCCUCUCAAUUCCUCUUUGUGAGAGAGCAACAACUCCUCUCUGGAUUUCAUUCACAGCAGCUCCCUUCUGGAGAACACUGAUAGCAGCUAACCCUCUCGUUCCCCCACAACUCCUCUGUUUCAACCAAAUCCCCUGCAACCCUUCUAUUUCUGUCCUUUGGAAUCCACCGGCAACAGUGGGAAUUUUCACGGGACUUCAAGUUCUAAUGAGGAAGAAAACUCGUUUACGGCACUGAAUCCCGCUAAGAAGAGGUGCUUGCAUGAGAUUGCCAAUGUUCCGAGGUUUGCACAAAUGGGGGUUUUGACGGCAAGGCUGUGUUGUUCUUCUCUUUCUUCAAUUUCAGUUUUCCCCCUCUUUUUUGGGUUGUUCGUUAAUUGUACUUGUCUGUGUAAAGUAAUAUUUUUUAAUGGCGUGGUGAAGGAACGGAUCUUGCCUUGAAGAAAUUUUGUAUGUCACGUCGGUUUGCUCCAGAAGAAACUGGAGAUGUUCUUAGUGAACAAUAUAAUAUCAGUUCAAGCACUAGCGGCUCAUCUUAAAUCGAUGUUUUUCUUGAAAAAUGUGGAGCUUCGUUAGAUGUAAGGCGGCAAAUUCACUUCCCAAGGCUUCUAUGUUUCAUGCUUUCGCUUUCAUCAAUUUUAUCAUAUUCUAAAUCAGCUCUUCUUUUGUUCUGAAUCAAAUAAAAUAAUCC
rnacentral:lncRNA from 1 species